UCUCCCUUUCUCUCCAAGAGUAGUAAAUAUAAUAUUUGCAAUUUAGAGUCUGUUUAUGUUCUAAACUCAGAGUUACAAACUUAUUCUAUGUCUUACAUGAUACGCGCACGCUAUAUAGAUUAACCUUUUACGAUUGGUGGAAAUAUAAAUCACUAGCAUGAGACUUUCACUUCUAUAUAUUUUUAUGUUUCCGGACGUUGCUUCCGCCUUCUUCUUGCAAGACUUUUCGUUAUUUUCCGUUGAACGUGCAAAACAGCGACCUAUUGUAUUAUCUUUCAUCGUAAUAAAUCAGUUGAAAAAAAUAAACUCGAUUAUUCUGCGCCAUCAGAGUCGACAAAGAGAUCACCAGGACUUGUAAUUUUUACCGAUUUUUUGGUGAACAAGGUUAUGUUAAUUGGAGGGAAACAUGAAAAGAAUUUUAUUAGAAGAAGUUUGAGGGCUACAUUUUCUGAUGACUUAGCCUCCAUGUGUUCAUGAACUGGCCAAAAAAAUAAUUAUAAAAUUGGAGAUACGCACACACAAUUCUGAGCAUUAAAAAUAAAAGCUUUUAGAGCAAUAUUCCCUCGGAAUACAGAAAAAGAUUUUCAACACUUUGUAAUGGAGUGGUUCAGAUUCGCAAACGUCCGUAAGGAAAAAAAACAUUAAAAAGGAAGUGAUAAAUAUAUUAUCUUACUUGCGUGGCUCCGCGCGAGUGAUUAUUAUAGUAACAAAUUUUUUUAUUUGAAAGAUGAGUUUUAUCCCAAAACCUUACGCUAGGAUCAGUGAUCUUCACCAAAGAUAUUAUUGUGAUAAACUGAAAACUGUAAUACAUGGUAUAUAUUAUUUUUAUAUAAAUAAAACUUUUUUAUGAUAAUUAGUGAAUUAUUCCCUAAUGCAGAUUGGUAUAUAACAGGCCUGGGCAACUUCGAGCUCCGGAGCCACGACACUCCCCUACUUU